rnacentral:rRNA from 1 species
GCCUUACCAUGCAGUCGAACGGCAGCACGGGGGCAACCCUGGUGGCGAGUGGCGAACGGGUGAGUAACAUAUCGGAACGUGCCCUGGAGUGGGGGAUAACUAGUCGAAAGACUAGCUAAUACCGCAUACGAUCUACGGAUGAAAGUGGGGGAUCGCAAGACCUCAUGCUCGUGGAGCGGCCGAUAUCUGAUUAGCUAGUUGGUGGGGUAAAGGCCUACCAAGGCAUCGAUCAGUAGCUGGUCUGAGAGGACGACCAGCCACACUGGGACUGAGACACGGCCCAGACUCCUACGGGAGGCAGCAGUGGGGAAUUUUGGACAAUGGGCGCAAGCCUGAUCCAGCAAUGCCGCGUGAGUGAAGAAGGCCUUCGGGUUGUAAAGCUCUUUUGUCAGGGAAGAAACGGUGGGGGCUAAUACCUUCUGCUAAUGACGGUACCUGAAGAAUAAGCACCGGCUAACUACGUGCCAGCA